AAAAGCAAAUAAGGGCGUAUGGCGGAUGCCUAGGCUCACGGAGGCGAUGAAGGACGUGAUAAGCUGCGAUAAGCCGCGGUUAGGUGCAAAUGACCCUUGACCCGCGGAUUUCCGAAUGGGACAACCCGGCCGCCUUACGGCGGUCAUCAUGACAGAGUCAUGAGGCGAACGCGGGGAACUGAAACAUCUUAGUACCCGCAGGAAGAGAAAAUAAGUCAAUGAUUCCCCCAGUAGUGGCGAGCGACCGGGGAAGAGCCCAAACCGGGUGUGUCGAGGCACAUCCGGGGUUGUAGGACCGCGCUGUUGUACGAGCAUGAGCGAGCGUGACCGUCUGGAAAGUCGGGCCGUAGCGGGUGAGAGCCCCCUUCGCGAAGUUCAUGCCGGCAUAGCGGUAUCCUGAGUAACGCGGGACACGAGGAAUCCUGCGCGAAUCCGCCGGGACCAUCCGGCAAGGCUAAAUACUCCCGUGAGACCGAUAGUGGACCAGUACCGUGAGGGAAAGGUGAAAAGAACUCCGACGAGGAGAGUGAAAUAGCCCCUGAAACCAUACGCCUACAAGCGGUCGGAGCAUGCGUAGCAUGUGACGGCGUGCCUUUUGCAUAAUGAACCUACGAGUUGCCGUCACGGGCAAGGUUAAGCGCCUAAGGCGCCGAGCCGCAGUGAAAGCGAGCCUGAAUAGGGCGCAGAGUCCGUGGAGGCAGACGCGAAACCGAGUGAUCUACACUUGUCCAGGAUGAAGUCCCGGUAACACGGGAUGGAGGUCCGCACCGAUAAGCGUUGAAAAGCUUCCGGAUGAGGUGAGUGUAGGAGUGAAAGGCCAAUCAAACUCGGAGAUAGCUCGUACUCCCCGAAAUGCAUUUAGGUGCAGCGUUCCGCGAUAGCGUCAAGAGGUAGAGCGACCGAUAGGAUGCGAGGGCUUCACCGCCUAUCAAGUCCUGACGAACUCCGAAUGCUUGACGCCUGCAGCGGGGCAGCAAGGGGGCGGGUGCUAAGGUCCGUCCCCGAGAGGAGAAGAAUCCAGACCGCCGUCUAAGGUCCCGGAAUUCUGCCUGAGUUAGUCUAACGAAGUGAGGUCCCUGAGACAGCCAGGAUGUUGGCUUGGAAGCAGCCAUUCAUUCAAAGAGUGCGUAACAGCUCACUGGUCGAGGGUCCUUGCGUGGAUAAUAAUCGGGUAUAAGGCAGAUACCGAAGGCGCGGGAUAGUAAUAAUAAAAGUAUCGGUAGGGGAGCAUUCCAUGUGCGUCGAAUGUUCAUGGUGACGUGAGCUGGAGCGCAUGGAAAAGCAAAUGUAGGUAUAAGUAACGACAAGGAGGGCGAGAACCCCUCCCGCCGCAAGACCAAGGUUUCCCGGGCAAUGCCAGUCAUCCCGGGGUCAGUCGGGUCCUAAGUCUAAGCCGAACGGCGAGGGCGAUGGCAGAAACGGUUAAUAUUCCGUUACUGCCUGUGCGAGCGAUGUGGAGACGGAGAAGUGGAACCGCCGCGGGGUGACGGAAGUCCCCGUUGAAGGGCGUAGGUUAUGAGGUGUGCAGGCAAAUCCGCAUUCCGAGCCGACCCUGACAGUACUCCGGCGCCUCCGGGCAACGGAGAUAGUGCGGGUAAUCAUGCUCCCGAGAAAAUCCGCUAAGCAAUCGCACAGGCACCCGUACCGCAAACGGACACACGUAGUCGGGUAGAAUAUACUAAGGCGUUGAGAGACUCAUGGUUAAGGAACUAGGCAAACUGACCCCGUAACUUCGGGAAAAGGGGUCCUCACGUAGAGUGAGGCGCAGAGAAUAGGUCCAGGCAACUGUUUAACAAAAACACAGGGCUGUGCGAACUCGAAAGAUGAAGUAUACAGCCUGACACCUGCCCGGUGCCGGAAGGUUAAGAGGAGAGCUCAGGAGCAAUCCGAAGGUUUGAAUUGAAGCCCCGGUAAACGGCGGCCGUAACUAUAACGGUCCUAAGGUAGCGAAAUUCCUUGUCGGGU
rnacentral:rRNA from 1 species